rnacentral:lncRNA from 1 species
AGUGUUUCUGCAUUUUUAAGCAGGCUUGGAUAUCGGGGGCAGCUUAGUGUUCACUCUGUAACUGACCUCACUGAGCCAAGUUCAGCGUGGUGUGAGUUAUCAAACCUGACAGCCUUUUGGCAAGCCUUUGAAGGCUCUCAGGCCAGACUCCCUUCCAAGCUCAGCUGGGAUCAAUUAGGAUAAAUAAUAGUUCUUGCAAUUGUUAGUUUCCACCAUGCUUUUAAAAAUUAUUUAGUGUGCAAUAAUGCAAUUUAUGGCUUACCUGUACCAUGCUAUCCAUUCAAAACAAAAUAAGAUCAAAUCGAAAGGUUAAAAUGUCCUGAGAGUUGCAGAACAAUACAGUGAGGGAAAAGUACCAGAGAGGCCAAUAUUUUGACCAUUCUUUCCUCUCCACAUUUAUCUAAAACAUAAGUAAACAUAAAUACAAAACUAUAAUAUUUCUUCAAAAUCUGCAUUCUCACCCCAACAGCAAUAUUUUGACAGUCUGGUUAAAACAUAAACCAUAAAUACACACACACACAUGUACACACACACACACACACACACACGCACAUACACAAACGGGUCAUGUCAAGCUUUGUCUUUGGGAGAAGGAAAGGGAGCAGUGAGGAGAAUAUGAAUAAAACUUUCUAGUUCUCUUUUGAUUGGAGGAGUUGUUUUAAUCAAUGACUUCCUAGAGUUCUACUUACCAAUUUAAUAAAGUCAAUACUUAAUAAAGAUAAUUAAAUAUUGCAUUAAAAUAUUAACAUAGUUUGGGUGUUACUACUCCCACUUUUCAAAUUUGGCUAGAGUAUAUUUUGCAUUUCAUUAUAAAAUAAUGAUUAAUAAGCAACAAACAUCACAAGCAUACUAUAUUGAAACUGCCUACACCAAAGAAAUAGAAGAUUUAUAUAAUGACUUUACAACCUAAAACAAAUUCCUAGUUAUAAUUUGCAAAAGAAAAAAAUAUUUUAUUUGAAUUAAUAAUUAACUACUAUUAUGAUUAAUCCAUCUGUAAUUGCAGUCAAGGAGAAGGGAAACUUGAAUUACUAAAAGCCAAAAUAUUAGAAUUGCCAUAACAAUUUGUCAUACUGAUUUUAAUUA